rnacentral:piRNA from 1 species
UCGAAUCUUUUGUUGACUUGAGCUAUUGAA